rnacentral:rRNA from 1 species
UACGUAGGGUGCGAGCGUUGUCCGGAAUUACUGGGCGUAAAGAGCUCGUAGGUGGUUUGUCGCGUUGUUCGUGAAAACUCACAACUCAAUUGUGGGCGUGCGGGCGAUACGGGCAGACUGGAGUACUGCAGGGGAGACUGGAAUUCCUGGUGUAGCGGUGGAAUGCGCAGAUAUCAGGAGGAACACCGGUGGCGAAGGCGGGUCUCUGGGCAGUAACUGACGCUGAGGAGCGAAAGCGUGGGGAGCGAACG